UCUUCUUACACGUUCCAAAUAUACACCACAAGUUACUGUAAGUACAUUUAUCCUUUUGCUACUGUUUAAAAGUUUGCUGUUUACAAGUUUAUUGUUGUAAUACAUCCUGACAAGAUGUUGUACAUAUAUUAAAAUCAAAUAAAAAUAACUGAAAGUAUUUUAAUGCGCCCUCUCAAGAAUUUAGGCCCUGACACAUUAAAAAAGAUUAUAGAGUUAAUAUUAAAAUUAUAGUUUUUAUACAAUUAUAGGACUAUAGGUACCGAUUAUUGACUUUAAAAAUAUUUAAUAAUUAUUUUAAUUACAAAUAUUUUAGUAAAAAAGGUCAGAACAAAGAGUUAUUGUCUGAAAAUAUGCUAAGCUUGGAUAUCAUAUCAUGACAGAAUGCCUUGAAAAUGUUGAAGGUUCUUCAAAUGGCGCAAUGGAUUUUACUCCAGGUCCCUCUUUAACUGUAAACAAAAUAAAACAACAAUCCACUAUAAGCGAUUCCAGUGAAAAUGAAUAAGAAGAAGGAGAUAGUAUGCCUUCUAAUAAAAGGUAAUAUCAUAAAUUUAUAAAUGUCAAAAAAAUGUAUAGGUUUAGGUAUAUAAAACCAAAAUUUAAUCUAAACAAUAAUAACAUUUUAGUUACUUCGAAACUGAGCAAGAAGAACUAGGCGGGCUUCUUGGAAGCCCGCCUAGUUCAGGG